rnacentral:lncRNA from 1 species
UAUUAAUUCACUGUUUUGUCCCCCUGCAGAACUACAAAGGUAAGUGAUCUGUCUCCUAUCUCUCUCUUCUCAUUGGUUCUAAACCCAACCCUACAGCAGCACUGACUCAUGAAUCUUCUUCCAGAGCCUAGUGGAUAGUGUCUGGUCCACAGCUGGUGUCAGCAUCGCUGAUAGAUGAGGCCAAACACCUGGGAAACCUGCUGUUUAGAGUCUGGGAGAAGAUGCAGGGCAUUGUGAAUUACAUUCAUCCUGUCUGAGGAUCUGAUCAGUGUGAGAGAUACAGUGGAGUGAGACAGCAG